rnacentral:rRNA from 1 species
UUGCGCGCGAGCCAAUGGUCGUCCCCCCGGAACACCAAAGGCGCAAAAAACAUAACUUGACGAUGUGCGGGAUUACGGGCGCGGCUCUCCGCGGCGUCCCUCCAUCCCCGGGUGUUGUAGCCGGCAUGCGGUCGGUGGCUCCUCGUGGGCCGCCACCGUGCCACAACAUACCGAGAGCGUGCAGGAUGUGACCCGAAAGAUGGUGAACUAUGCCUGAUCAGGUUGAAGUCAGGGGAAACCCUGAUGGAGGACCGAAGCAGUUCUGACGUGCAAAUCGAUUGUCAGAAUUGGGCAUAGGGGCGAAAGACCAAUCGAACCAUCUAGUAGCUGUUUUCCUUCCGA